CUAUGAAAUACUUGAAAAAUUAAGGUUGGGUAUUUUUCAAGAUUUUAUUAUUUAUUUAUUUUUUAGAGUAAAUAAUAAAUUUGGAAAUGGAGUGUGUGAGAAUGAAUUUUGUGAUGGCUAUUUUCGUUAUCACGGUUUCUUUGAUUCUUUCAACGAUCAAUGCUCAAGCUUCUUCCCCUGCCCCGGCCCCUUCAAGUGAUGGUGCAACAAUUGAUCAAGGGGUGGCUUAUGUGCUCAUGAUGGUUGCUUUGGCCUUGACAUACAUCAUGCACUAGUUCUUUUUAAUCUUCCAAACAACUUCUUGGGUUUGUUUUGACUUCUUUUAAGUCAAACUCCAUUCUUUGUACUAUAAAGAUUCAUUCUUUAUUUUAUCUCGUUUUAAAGCAUUGGUUCAAUUCUCAAAUGUAGCAUGGAACUACUUGGAAAUGUGAUUAUUUUUAAAUAUCCAUGUUGCUUUGUAUUUUGUUAUAAA